rnacentral:tRNA from 1 species
GCCGGGGUGGCGGAACUGGCAGACGCACAGGACUUAAAAUCCUGCNGCACUAGACUUAGGAUCUAGCGCCUUACGGCGUGGGGGUUCGACUCCCUUCACCCGCA